rnacentral:rRNA from 1 species
UACGUAGGGGGCAAGCGUUGUCCGGAUUUAUUGGGCGUAAAGAGCUCGUAGGUGGUUCGGUAAGUCGGAUGUGAAAUCUCCAGGCUCAACCUGGAGGGGUCAUUCGAUACUGCCGUGACUAGAGGUCGGUAGGGGAGUGUGGAAUUCCUGGUGGAGCGGUGAAAUGCGCAGAUAUCAGGAGGAACACCAGUGGCGAAGGCGGCAUCCUGGCCCUGUCCUGACGCUCAGGGGCGAAAGCGUGGGGAGCAAACCGG